rnacentral:rRNA from 1 species
AUAAGAUCGAGCGACUCAGAGAACACGUGUAUCGAGCGACGACUGCCGUCGUCGUGGGAUGGCCGGCCCGGUCGUUGCCCUCUUUUCCUGUAUGGGUAGGGCAGGGCACGGCCAGGGGCGGAUGAAAGCACAAACCGGCGCAGCAUCGCGCCAAGGAAUAAUUCAAAGGCACGAGCCCCGCGUGGAGCUCGGUGGCGUGGGGUGCUUCGGCACGUCCCGCGGUUGGACAUGACUCUCGGCAAUGGAUAUCUCGGCUCUCGCAUCGAUGAAGAGCGCAGCGAAAUGCGAUACGUGGUGCGAAUUGCAGAAUCCCGCGAACCAUCGAGUCUUUGAACGCAAGUUGCGCCCGAGGCCGUCAGGCCAAGGGCACGUCCGCCUGGGCGUCAAGCGUUGCGUCGCUCCGUGCCACAGCUCCGACCGCAUCGUGGUGUGGAGUAUGAGGCUCGGAUGUGCAGAGUGGCUCGUCGUGCCCAUCGGUGCGGCGGGUUGAAGAAAGGGCAACGUCUCGCAGGCCGCGAACAACAAGGGGUGGGUGAAUGCUGCGAGCACAACCUGCGUUGUCUCGUGUUGGCCCGAGAGACGGUUCGCGCCUUCAAGGUGAUCCCGACCCAGGUACCGAUCCGCAUGCGGGCGGUGUCUUG